UACGUAGGGUGCGAGCGUUAAUCGGAAUUACUGGGCGUAAAGUGUGCGCAUGUGGCCGCGCAAGUCGAGUGUGAAAUCCCCGGGCUUAACUUGGGAAUUGCGCUCGAAACUACGUGGCUCGAGUGUGGCAGAGGAAGGUGGAAUUCCACGUGUAGCGGUGAAAUGCGUAGAGAUGUGGAGGAACACCGAUGGCGAAGGCAGCCUUCUGGGCCAACACUGACGCUCAUGCACGAAAGCGUGGGGAGCAAACAGG
rnacentral:rRNA from 1 species